rnacentral:rRNA from 1 species
UGGGGAAUCUUGCGCAAUGGGGGAAACCCUGACGCAGCGACGCCGCGUGCGGGAUGAAGGCCUUCGGGUUGUAAACCGCUUUCAGCAGGGACGAGGCCUUAUGGUGACGGUACCUGCAGAAGAAGCUCCGGCUAAAUACGUGCCAGCAGCCGCGGUAAUACGUAUGGAGCAAGCGUUAUCCGGAUUCAUUGGGCGUAAAGCGCUCGUAGGCGGUCUGUUAGGUCGGCAAGUUAAAUCCGGGGGCUCAACCCCCGUCCGCUUCCGAUACCGGCAGACUUGAGUUUGGUAGGGGAAGGUGGAAUUCCUAGUGUAGCGGUGGAAUGCGCAGAUAUUAGGAAGAACACCGGUGGCGAAGGCGGCCUUCUGGGCCAUAACUGACGCUGAGGAGCGAAAGCUAGGGGAGCGAACAGGAUUAGAUACCCUGGUAGUCCUAGCCGUAAACGAUGGACACUAGGUGUGGGGAAGUUUUUUCUCCGUGCCGCAGCUAACGCAUUAAGUGUCCCGCCUGGGGAGUACGACCGCAAGGUUA